CGCCGUCCUCGCUCUCUUCCCAAUCCCCUCCACAUCCUCUCCUCCUCGCUCGCCACAUCUGCACGCUACCGGAGAAAGCGGAGGUCGUGGCGCGGGCCUCUUUUGCGCGCGACGGAGGAGGGCGGGUGCUCCGGUGGUGUGCGCGCGCUCGGUUGAGGAGGGCCUGGCUUUCGGUUGUCUGCGCGCGCGCGCGGCUGAAGGAGCGUCGGGCUGCGGUGUACGCGUGAUUGAAGGAGUGCUGGGCUGCGGUGGUGCGCACGUCGGAGGAGCGCGAGGCUGCGGUGGUGCGUGCAGUGUGUAUGCGGAAGACAGAGCUUGGUGUGGAACGCAGGUCGCCGGUGACGCUGCGGUGGACUUGUUGUGGAAAUCCGAGGUCCCACCCAAAUAAAACAUGUUCAAAGCUAUCAAAGUAAUGCCCAAGUAAGGAAACCACCACCAGCUACUCUCCAGGGCGCAGUGCAAAAUCCCUGCAGGAGAUUAGAGAAACAAGGGGAAACACAAGGAGACAAAAGUUACACCUUCUCUCGAUCUAUUUUUUGGCUGUAGAUUUGUAAAUCACUACUUUCUUUAGUUUUUAACCUCUAAUGGCGCAGGUCCUUGUGAUGGGGUGGAGCCAGGGGAAGUGUUUCGCUGCUCGUCCUACUCUUUGCGAUCAGGAGGAGAGAAGCAUGAGAAGUGCAGCAUGUUUGCGUCUUGCAGGGUGGGUGGGGCAGGCAAAGGGACGCAGGAGACGGUGACCCCUUUCUUUCCAAAUCUGGAGCGAGGGGGGACCAAAACAUACCAAAAACAGGAGGCUGCCAAGGGGCGCUAGUGGGCAAAGAUUGCUCGCUAGACGCGUCCUUUUUUUAAAUAUGCGAUUUUUUUAAAAUAAAAAUAAUUUUUGAAUACACAAACAUUUUAUUAAAAAUUCUCUUUUUUAA